GUGGGGUACGGAGACAUUGUUCCAAAAACGAUCCUGGGAAAGGUGAUCGGAUCUGUCUGUUGUAUUUGUGGUGUUCUCGUUGUCGGUUUGCCAAUUCCCAUCAUUGUAAACAAC
rfam:Echinostoma caproni strain Egypt genome assembly, scaffold: ECPE_scaffold0001088